CGCGUUGUUCGCAUCGCGUUACGGAAAAACUAGCCCGUUUCAGUGGAAAUUACACGAUUUUGCGUUUAAAUUAUUUCAAAAAAUAUGUUUGUGGUUUAAAUAGCACUAAAAGGACAACAUUUACACUGUUUGUCGAAUAAUUUCAUUCGGUAUGGAGGAGUCUCAUAGGAACAAUUAUGAUGAGAGAAAAAACAAAACCGACACGAAUGCUGUUAGAAAAAAGGAAAAACAACAAAGCCUCAUGACACCUUACCAAGAAAAUGGUUACAUAUUAGAAGGACAUCUUCACAUCUUGGAUAACUUAGGGCAGAUCGAACAUAAAAAAG